rnacentral:rRNA from 1 species
GUAGGGUGCGAGCGUUAAUCGGAAUUACUGGGCGUAAAGCGUGCGCAGGCGGUUCGUUAAGUUCGUUGUGAAAGCCCCGGGCUCAACCUGGGAACUGCAAUGGAAACUGGCGGGCUUGAGUAUGGCAGAGGGGGGUGGAAUUCCGCGUGUAGCAGUGAAAUGCGUAGAGAUGCGGAGGAACACCGAUGGCGAAGGCAGCCCCCUGGGCCAAUACUGACGCUCAGGCACGAAAGCGUGGGGAGCAAACAGGAUUAGAUACCCUGGUAGUCCACGCCCUAAACGAUGCUCACUAGGUGUUGGGGAAGCGAUUCCUUGGUACCGUAGCUAACGCGUGGAAGUGAGCCGCCUGGGGAGUGCGGUCGCAAGGCUG